rnacentral:rRNA from 1 species
CAGUCGCCGCGGGAAUACGGAGGGAGCUAGCGUUGUUCGGAAUUACUGGGCGUAAAGCGCGCGUAGGCGGUUACUCAAGUCAGAGGUGAAAGCCCGGGGCUCAACCCCGGAACUGCCUUUGAAACUAGGUGACUAGAAUCUUGGAGAGGUCAGUGGAAUUCCGAGUGUAGAGGUGAAAUUCGUAGAUAUUCGGAAGAACACCAGUGGCGAAGGCGACUACCUGGACUGAUACUGACACUGAGGUGCGAAAGCGUGGGGAGCAAACAGGAUUAGAUACCCCUGUAGUCCCUGUCUCUUAUAC